GUGGGGAAUAUUGGACAAUGGGCGAAAGCCUGAUCCAGCCAUGCCGCGUGUGUGAAGAAGGUCUUCGGAUUGUAAAGCACUUUAAGUUGGGAGGAAGGGCAGUAAGUUAAUACCUUGCUGUUUUGACGUUACCGACAGAAUAAGCACCGGCUAACUUCGUGCCAGCAGCCGCGGUAAUACGAAGGGUGCAAGCGUUAAUCGGAAUUACUGGGCGUAAAGCGCGCGUAGGUGGUUCGUUAAGUUGGAUGUGAAAGCCCGGGCUCAACCUGGGAACUGCAUCCAAAACUGGCGAGCUAGAGUACGGUAGAGGGUGGUGGAAUUUCCUGUGUAGCGGUGAAAUGCGUAGAUAUAGGAAGGAACACCAGUGGCGAAGGCGACCACCUGGACUGAUACUGACACUGAGGUGCGAAAGCGUGGGGAGCAAACAGGAUUAGAUACCCCAGUAGUCC
rnacentral:rRNA from 1 species